rnacentral:lncRNA from 1 species
GUGGAAACACAAUGCCCCAUUGUCAUAGCACAAAGUGAAGAAAUGCCAGAAUAAAAGAUGCUGCGAUGGAUGGAGCCUGGGAGGCUGGAAAUGAGGUCAUGAUUUACAACAAUUAAAAACAUCAUCCUCAAGCUUACUCCUUAAAGCCACACUCAGGAGGAGAUCCGAACCAGAGGGAUCAUCUGGGUGUGAUGGGGAAGAACCUGACCUACAACCAUGGGGAGCAGGGGGAGCAGUGCUAGAAGGGACUCGGGGCCCUUCAGGAACCCUGUACCUAAAGUGACACUGUGGAAGUCACUCUAGGUCAUGGGAAAGAACUUGAAAAGCUGCAUGCUUAUGUACCCCUCAGAGGUGUCUAGAGCAUCAGGCUAGGGAUCUGGCAUGAUGAUCCACCAUCCACAGGUGCAGUCUAACCCUUGAGUAGUAUCUUUAGCAUACAGGUAAAUUUGCUCAGUUUGCCAAAAACAUAUGCUCCAUCUUUCACUGCCCUGCAGCACUACAUUAGAACAUACUGGUUAUUAAAUAACCACCAUGUUGUCUCAAGAACUGAACUUGGGAUGCCUGCUAUCCUUUCCCAUAACAGGGACCUCCAUGGAACUGGGGAGUCUUGGACCAAGCCAGAAUCCAUUCAGCUGACACUCAGCCAAUCUGGCUAGGCUUUUGUACUCUGCAAAGUGCCUUUCCUAUGAUGUAAAGAACUAUCAACCCCUUCCCUCUCCCCAGAGGGCCAAGUUGAAAAUUGGGGAACAACCUUUCUUUGGGAGAGGAUGGCUGUGGAGUAAGACAUGAGUGGAAGCAAGCAAAGUGAACACACAUAUUGACCAGAGACCAGGAUGACACGCCCAUCGGUGCCAUGAGAGGGGCUGGAGGAGGCCAGGUUUUUACUUCUCUUCCCCUUCAGUUCAUCUUGACCUUGACAUGAUGAUUCCACUGGGUUCCAAAGGUUCUCAGAGUCAAGAGAAAGUGAAUGUAGGGGAGGAGAGCCAAUCCCGAGAUCACGGGCUAGGAGGAAGGGUCUUGGUCCCUGAUUCCCUUGGUCCCUUGUGGUCCUAGUAGGAUGGCCAAUUCACAGGCAAGACCUUCCGUAGCCAAUGCUUGUCGGAACUGUAGCUCUAGGGACCCAGGUGGAGCCAGCAAAAACUCUUUCCAAAGAACUUUCUAACAUUGCACUCACUGUGAGCCAUUCCAGAGAGAAGAAGAAGGAGGGGGCAAGUGUAGCUCCUGGUGCUUGGGUUUGGAUUCUCUUUAUUGGCUCUAAAGACGUUGGCAGGAGUUGCCUCGGAGGCCGGAGGAAAAGGAACACAGUGAUGACAGGAGGGAGGGGCAACAACCUGCCAGUGGUCGAUGGGAGACACACCCAUCUCAGUGGUGGUAAAAGGUGUGGGAGCACUGGUGGCUCAUGCAGUUUCUACUUAGCAUCCCUGGAUCCAAAAAGAGCAACGCCUAGCGCUUCCAACCUCUCAGAGGGCCCAUCCUACCAAGGUGACAUCAGAACAAGGAGGCUUAAAAGGAGUUUUUUGUUUUUGUUUUUGUUUUUUAAAAGCCAUGACGUCCUUUGCUGAAAUAAACAUUGACAUCCUCAACAUAGAUGCCAUGGUUAAGAGGCUUGGAAUGUCCGGAAAGGCUUAUUGGAUUCAAC